rnacentral:rRNA from 1 species
AUUGAACGCUGGCGGCAGGCCUAACACAUGCAAGUCGAACGAGUGGCGGACGGGUGAGUAAUGUCUGGGAAACUGCCUGAUGGAGGGGGAUAACUACUGGAAACGGUAGCUAAUACCGCAUACCAUCGGAUGUGCCCAGAUGGGAUUGGAUAGUUGGUGGGGUAACGGCUCACCAAGGCGACGAUCCCUAACUGGUCUGAGAGAGGGACCGACCCAACUGGACCUGAGACACGGUCCGACUCCCUACGGGAGGCAGCAGUGGGAAAUAUUGGACAAUGGGCGCAAGCCGGAUGGUGCCAUGCCGCGUGUAUGAAGAGGGCCUUCGGGUUGUAAAGUACGUUCAGCGGGGAGGCGUUACCCGCAGAAGAAGCACCGGCUAACUCCGUGCCAGCAGCCGCGGUAAUAC